AUACGUAGGGUGCGAGCGUUGUCCGGAAUUACUGGGCGUAAAGAGCUCGUAGGUGGUUUGUCGCGUCGUCUGUGAAAUUCCGGGGCUUAACUCCGGGCGUGCAGGCGAUACGGGCAUAACUUGAGUACUGUAGGGGAGACUGGAAUUCCUGGUGUAGCGGUGAAAUGCGCAGAUAUCAGGAGGAACACCGGUGGCGAAGGCGGGUCUCUGGGCAGUAACUGACGCUGAGGAGCGAAAGCAUGGGUAGCGAACAGGAUUAGAUACCCUGGUAGUCCAUGCCGUAAACGGGGGGCGCUAGGUGUAGGGGUCUUCCACGACUUCUGUGCCGUAGCUAACGCAUUAAGCGCCCCGCCUGGGGAGUACGGCCGCAAGGCUAAAACUCAAAGGAAUUGACGGGG
rnacentral:rRNA from 1 species